rnacentral:rRNA from 1 species
AGCGAACGCUGGCGGCAGGCUUAACACAUGCCAGUCGAACGGGCUUCUUCGGAAGUCAGUGGCAGACGGGUGAGUAACACGUGGGAACGUGCCCUUCGGUUCGGAAUAACUCAGGGAAACUUGAGCUAAUACCGGAUACGCCCUUUUGGGGAAAGGUUGACUGCCGAAGGAUCGGCCCGCGUCUGAUUAGCUUGUUGGUGGGGUAACGGCCUACCAAGGCGACGAUCAGUAGCUGGUCUGAGAGGAUGAUCAGCCACACUGGGACUGAGACACGGCCCAGACUCCUACGGGAGGCAGCAGUGGGGAAUAUUGGACAAUGGGGGCAAGCCUGAUCCAGCCAUGCCGCGUGAGUGAUGAAGGCCUUAGGGUUGUAAAGCUCUUUUGUCCGGGACGAUAAUGACGGUACCGGAAGAAUAAGCCCCGGCUAACUUCGUG